AUGUUCUCUGUAGCUCUGCUGCUGCUGCUGGCUGCUGGAUCCUGUGUGAAAUGUUACACGCUGACACAGCCAGCAUCUCUGACUGUCCGGCCAGGUCAAACUCUGACCAUCACCUGUCAGGUCUCUUAUUCUGUUAGUGACUAUGCAACAGCUUGGAUCAGACAGCCUGCAGGGAAAACACUGGAGUGGAUUGGAUUGGGUAGAGUGGGUUACAGCUCAGCUUACAAAGAUUCACUGAAAAACAAGUUCAGUAUUUCCUUCGACUCUUCCAGCAACACAGUGACUCUAACUGGACAGAAUGUGCAGCCUGAAGACACUGCUGUGUAUUAUUGUGCCAGACAGCCACAGUGA